GACGAACGCUGGCGGCGUGCCUAACGAAUGCGAGUCGAACGAGAACCAGAGGAGUGCUUGCACAAUUCUGGGGACAGUGGCGAACGAGUGAGUAACACGUAGGUAACCUGCCCCUCAGCCGGGGACAACAGUGGGAAACCGCUGCUAAUCCCCGAUGGUCUGCGAUAGCACAAGCUACCGUAGUAAAGGCUUCGGUCACUGAGGGAUGGGCCUGCGGGUCAUUAGCUAGUUGGUGGGGUAACGGCCUACCAAGGCGACGAUGACUAGCCGGUCUGAGAGGAUGUCCGGCCACACUGGGACUGAGACAUGGUCCAGACUCCUCCGGGAGUUAGCAUCGAGGAAUCUUGCGCAAUGGGCGAAAGGCUGAAGCAGCAACGCCGCGUGGAGGAUGAAAUACUUUUGUAUGUAAACUCCUGUAAGAGGGGAAAAUAUACAGUUUAUACUGUGUUGAUUGUACCCUCAGAGUAAGCACCGGCUAACUACGUGCCAGC
rnacentral:rRNA from 1 species